GAUGAACGCUAGCUACAGGCUUAACACAUGCAAGUCGAGGGGAAACGACAUCGAAAGCUUGCUUUUGAUGGGCGUCGACCGGCGCACGGGUGAGUAACGCGUAUCCAACCUGCCCACCACUUGGGGGAUAACCUUGCGAAAGUAAGACUAAUACCCAAUGAUAUCCCACGAAGGCAUCCGAAUGGGAUUAAAGAUUUAUCGGUGAUGGAUGGGGAUGCGUCUGAUUAGCUUGUUGGCGGGGUAACGGCCCACCAAGGCGACGAUCAGUAGGGGUUCUGAGAGGAAGGUCCCCCACAUUGGAACUGAGACACGGUCCAAACUCCUACGGGAGGCAGCAGUGAGGAAUAUUGGUCAAUGGACGGGAGUCUGAACCAGCCAAGUAGCGUGCAGGAUGACGGCCCUAUGGGUUGUAACUGCUUUUAUAGGGGGAUAAAGUGUGCCACGUGUGGCAUAUUGCAGGUACCCUAUGAAUAAGGACCGGCUAAUUCCGUG
rnacentral:rRNA from 1 species